rnacentral:tRNA from 1 species
UGCGAAAAAAAAUUGCUGCGCGGGACUCAUAAGCCCGAGGUCAGUGGUUCGAUCCCACUUCCCGCUACCA